GAAAUGCGAUAAGUAAUGUGAAUUGCAGAAUUCAGUGAAUCAUCGAAUCCUUGAACGCACAUUGCGCCCGCCAGCAUUCUGGCGGGCAUGCCUGUUCGAGCGUCAUUUCAACCCUCGAGCCCCCCCGGGGGCCUCGGUGUUGGGGGACGGCACACCAGCCGCCCCCGAAAUGCAGUGGCGACCCCGCCGCAGCCUCCCCUGCGUAGUAGCACACACCUCGCACCGGAGCGCGGAGGCGGUCACGCCGUAAAACGCCCAACUUUCUUAGAGUUGACCUCGGAUCAGGUAGGAAUACCCGCUGAACUUAAGC
rnacentral:misc_RNA from 1 species